rnacentral:rRNA from 1 species
GCAGGCCUAACACAUGCAAGUCGAGGGGUAGAGGAAGCUUGCUUCCUUGAGACCGGCGCACGGGUGCGUAACGCGUAUGCAAUCUACCUUGUACAGAGGGAUAGCCCAGAGAAAUUUGGAUUAAUACCUCAUAGUAUUAUUGAAUGGCAUCAUUUAAUAAUUAAAGUUCCAACGGUACAAGAUGAGCAUGCGUCCUAUUAGCUAGUUGGUGUGGUAACGGCAUACCAAGGCUACGAUAGGUAGGGGUCCUGAGAGGGAGAUCCCCCACACUGGUACUGAGACACGGACCAGACUCCUACGGGAGGCAGCAGUGAGGAAUAUUGGACAAUGGGCGCAAGCCUGAUCCAGCCAUGCCGCGUGCAGGAAGACGCAUCUAUGGUGUGUAAACUGCUUUUGUACGGGAAGAAACACUCCCUCGUGAGGGAGCUUGACGGUACCGUAAGAAUAAGGAUCGGCUAACUCCGUGCCAGCAGCCGCGGUAAUACGGAGGAUCCAAGCGUUAUCCGGAAUCAUUGGGUUUAAAGGGUCCGUAGGCGGUUUAAUAAGUCAGUGGUGAAAGCCCAUCGCUCAACGAUGGAACGGCCAUUGAUACUGUUAGACUUGAAUUACAAGGAAGUAACUAGAAUAUGUAGUGUAGCGGUGAAAUGCUUAGAUAUUACAUGGAAUACCAAUUGCGAAGGCAGGUUACUAC